ACAAGCACUGAAUAUUGCUGUAUAGUUUUGUUACAGUUUUCACCGCAAAUGUUAAUGAGGAAAAGUGACAGUAAAUGAAUCAACCUUACCACGACUCUGUCUUCAUUGGCUACGGUUUAACUUGGUGUUUAGUCAGAGUUUCAACACACUACAUGGAGAAUUAACUGGAAGUGUGCGUGAUGCCCUUAGAUCCAACCCUCUUUCUGCUCUAUUUAAACCUGAGUACCUGCUUCAGGUCAGAGUUUCUGAAAGAUCAGAAUAAUGUCCAUGAUGAAGAGGUCUGUGUUUGUGGGUUUUGUCCUGCUUGCUCUCAUCCCAUUGAUUCAUGCUGCCUGUUGGUAUCAACUGCCCAGAUCUGGUGCGACUCAUUGUCAAGACGGUCAGGAUAAGACUUGGCACCCGAUCGGAGCCGA